GUGCAGCAGCGUGGACUUGCCGCUGCCGCUCGGGCCGGUGACGGCGAGGAUCUCCCCGGCCGCCAGUUCGAUGCCGGCGCCGCGCA
rnacentral:tRNA from 1 species